CAAUAAUGGAGGAUUUAACUGGUUGGCAGAGUCCGGGAUAAGGAGCUGAGAGCAGAGCACAGGAAUCUAAGUCUCUCUUUGGCUCAGUGGACCCAGACUCAACAUGCAGCUCUUCCCUCUUGUCACCUCAUCAGGAUUCUACUAUGGAAAACAGGUGGCAUUUGCCCUCUGCUCUCAGAGCAAAGGCUGUGUGAAGAAAUGGCGAGAAGGUGGCCAUCUGCAACCCAAGGAGAGAGCCGUCACUACACACUGACCCUGCUGGUACCUGGAUCCGAAACAUCCAGUCUCCAGAGCUGUGCGAAAUAAAUUCCUGUUGGUUAAGCCACCCAG